CUUCCUUUACAUUAUGGCCUGCAUUUUGGAUUGUCGGGUAUCGUUUUAAUGUCCCUGCUGAGGACUAGAACAUAUACUAUUCGUACCACAUAUUUGGUGCUCCCUCAUUUUAUAGAUUUGGAAAGAAAAUACGAGCUGCUAACAUACUCGGUUCCACAAGACAUUACAGCUCAGUGGUGGUCGCGAGGGUGAGGCAGUAUCAGUCGGGAGAGGCCGUGAGGACGAAAUUAGGGAAGGGAGUGGGAGGUCUUCCACAUUCUCAUCCUAAACAGCAAGCAGUGUACUGUCGACAGCAUUGGACUAAAACUCCAGCCCAAGGUUCCUAAACGCUAUCUGGCUGUUCAGUGCAGCCCGCUCGGGAUAAGGACAGGGACCCGCCGUGGCAGACGUUGGCAUUGCGCUUUUGCGGCACCGGUAUGGUUUAUGAUGUGGAACAGUAUGUGAGCAAGCCACAUUCACAUGCUCUCCAUAAAUGGGGACAAUAGGAAAUCAUUAUCGUAUUGUGCAUCUUAACUAGUUAGCCACCAAGCCAUCUAAUGCGCCGUUUUGGGGCAGAUUAAAGCAACUACUGCCCUUAUUCGUGUCAAGGUAUAUUUACUGUCUGUGUAGGAUUUGGCAUAAGGCUCCUUAUCGUGAGCGAGCAUGGAGGGGCGUUGUGGAUUUAGCCAACUUUGCUAGCUAGCUUACUCAGUCCAAGACUAAUGUAUUUAACCAGAUUUGUGUUUGUUUUAACUUCUAUGUUUUCAAACUGUUAAGCAUACGUGUUAACAUUUUAACUGAGGUUCACUUGUUAGUUUGCAGAGGAGUGCUUUCAAGGUUUGCUUGAUUUAAUGUUGUCAAAGGAAAAACAAUCCAGCUAGCCAGCUAAGUAGCCCAGGUCAAGCUCGUGCACCCUAAUGAAGGAGUACAAAGUGGUUGUGUUGGGAAGCGGAGGCGUUGGCAAGUCCGCGCUGACUGUCCAGUUUGUCACGGGCACGUUCAUCGAAAAAUAUGACCCUACAAUUGAGGACUUCUAUCGGAAAGAGAUUGAAGUGGACUCGUCGCCUUCGGUGUUGGAGAUCCUUGACACGGCAGGGACAGAACAGUUCGCCUCCAUGAGAGACCUGUACAUCAAGAACGGCCAGGGUUUCAUACUUGUCUACAGUCUCGUCAAUCAACAGUCUUUUCAGGACAUCAGGCCGAUGCGAGACCAGAUCGUGCGGGUCAAGCGCUUUGAGAAGGUGCCACUGAUUCUGGUGGGCAACAAGGUGGACCUGGAGUCUGAGAGGGAGGUGGCAGGUGCAGACGGUCGGGCCCUGGCUCAGGAGUGGGGCUGCCCCUUCAUUGAGACCUCAGCCAAGAGCAAGACCAUGGUGGACGAGCUGUUUGCUGAGAUUGUCCGUCAGAUGAACUAUGCCACACUGCCAGAGAAACAGGAGCAGUGCUGCACGGCCUGUGUGGUGCAGUAAAGGAGUAGGGGGACACUGUCCUCUCCACAACUCUCUCCCAGGAAGCAGAUUUUCUUCACUGUGAGAACUAACUUCCCCACCCAUGCAGCAGACACACAGACAUACACAUUGAGGUAUUGGUCGUUUUCCUGCUUUGAUGACCUAUGACCCCAGGAACCACUUCAGCUCCAUCACACCUUCUGACCUCUCCAGCUGGCAGUAUUACCUACCAGAGGGCAGAUUCUUGUCUGUUCAUGAGCCAAUUCAAUGGAGUCUUGAGCCUGCCCAAGACUGUGGAACACAUUCACCUGCAGACUCACUGGCCUUCAUGGUUUAGGCCCAGGGAAAACCUACUUUUCAAUGUAUAGGACAGAUUUAUGAGGAUGAAGGGUUGUCUAUGGAUUUCUAUUUUCUCAUUUGGGGUUGGGGAGUGCUGGGGCAAUGAGCAGUGAUCUGCUCGGGACCACAGCGUCCCUUUUUUGAAGCUGCUCAGUCAUUAUAUCCCCUAGUUUUACUUUGUACUGGAAUUGGUUUGUUAAAUCUGAUAUCUCAUUUUGAAGUGAUUACAGCCAUUAUACAGGUUUGGGCCUCGGGACAGAAUUCAAUCAAACCGUGGUAAAUAUAUGAUUGCUGUGCUCUACAGCAGUGUUUAACAAAUCACCUAAUUUUCAAGUUGUUAGCUAGGUUUCCGACCAAUUGGCGACAGAUUUUCAUAAACGGACUUGUUGCAGGUAGAAAUCACUGCGUGAUGACGUAGUACACACAAUGUACUUUUUUGCAACCGUUUUCAUGUAUGGAAUAAAAAUCAAAAGUUCAACGUG